rnacentral:tRNA from 1 species
GAGGCACUAGUUAAACAAUAACAUCACCUUGUCAAGAUGAAGUUAUAGGUUAAAUCCCUAUGUGUCUCU